rnacentral:rRNA from 1 species
AAUCAACGCUGGCGGCGUGCCUAACACAUGCAAGUCGAACGCGAAAGUCCCGCAAGGGAUUAGUAGAGUGGCAAACGGGUGAGUAACACGUGGGUGACCUGCCUUCGAGCGGGGGAUAACGUCCCGAAAGGGACGCUAAUACCGCAUAACAUCCUGCCUUUUAAGAGGUGGAGAUCAAAGCCGGGGAUCGCAAGACCUGGCACUUGAAGAGGGGCCCGCGCCUGAUUAGCUAGNGGUGGGGUAAUGGCCUACCAAGGCAACGAUCAGUAUCCGGCCUGAGAGGGCGGACGGACACACUGGGACUGAGACACGGCCCAGACUCCUACGGGAGGCAGCAGUGGGGAAUUGUUCGCAAUGGGCGCAAGCCUGACGACGCAACGCCGCGU